UCUCAGUCCUGGAGAACUGCAAGGCUGUGACAGAAGUGCUGCAAACCACAGCUUUUUAUUGAAUUGCAUACUCGUGCAAUUGCAAAGCAGACAAAACUGGGAAGAGUCCUGUUACUGAUGCAUCAGAAACACUUUCCAUCUGCCGGGUGUCUCCAGGAGGAUCCCUGUUAGCUGGAGCUCCUCAGAUACAGCCACCGUUCAAGGAGGAAACCAUUUGCUCCCUUCCCCCACCAACGCUCCGGUUGCUUUCAGUGGUGUAGUUCUCACUGUUCAGUUUUGGAACCAGAGGGGGAUGCUUGGACUUAGUGCUUGCUGGGUAGCCUCCUUUCCAAGGCAGUAAGCAUGUAUAACAGUAAGUUCACUCCUGAAAACACCCAGCGCCUUCAGUUCCUGUAACAGAGUCUGCCGAGAGGAGCCGUUGGAAUCCAUCAUUUCCCUUUCAUGGCUGUUUCUUGAAAAAAAAAGAAAAGCAAAGCGCUGGCAAACUGCCAAGCCAUGGAGGCACAGCGAUAUCCCGGGGCUGAGCCAGCGCCGCCGCUCAGUAACAGCAGCAGCCUCUGGCUGAAGAAUGUCCAGGAGCUGCCAGGGAGCCUCUCCUCUGCCUGCAUCCCCCAGACUCAGACUAUGGCCUCUGCGUUCCUCUCGCUGCGCAGGAGAUUGCAGGUUUUCCUCAACAAAAAGCAGGGCUGCCCCUGCCCUGGGGGAUCGAGCGCUGGAUUUCGCUGCUUCUCUUGGCCUCGUUCCUUCAGGGAGAAGGGAUCCUGCCACAGCCACGCCGGCUCAAGCACAGGAAGCCUGCGUAGUGCUCAGCGGCCCCGCGCCUCAGAAAUCCUCCCUCCUCUCUGUGGAAAGGAGCAGGCACGUUCCUAUGAAGACUAUGGCUGAAAGAUUGUCUUAGGUCUGGAACCCAAAUGCUUUUUGUAACACUUAGCUAUUGCGUUCUCUGGUGUGUAAGUACUGAAGUAGUUUUUGUUACUCUAGCGCAGUCUCCUCCUCUGACGUCUCCCUGAGCCAGAGGGAGAACACACAAGACAUUUCACUUGCACAAGUUGUUUAUGGCUAAUACUGAUUUUUGAGGUGCUUGACUUCCUGUUUAACAGCUCCGUACCACCCAUGGUGAUGAUGAUGUGGCUGCUUGUACAGCAGUGCACAGUAGAGGCUGGGAACCAGGCGCCCUGCAGGAACAGCGCUUACAGUGACUGCCAAGUUAACGUGGGCCAGCAGAGUUCUCGCUGCGAACACGGCAUGCCGCAGGCUGGGCUGCAUCGGGGGGCACGCAGCCAGAAAAUCCACGGGAGCACUCACCCCCAGUACGCCACACUGCGUGCAAUGUUGCUGUCCAGCUUUGGCCUCUUGGCUGACGGAGAUGCUGAAAAGCUGCGGAGGGUGCUGUGAAGUGGUGGUAGAGCCAGAGUGCAUGUCCUCUGGGAAAAAGGUGGGAGGAGUUGGAUUAGGUCUGAGGAGGAGCAGGCUACGGGGUGCAAUAUAAGAAAUUACUGCUUAAAUUGAUCUGCAAGGCAAUUGCAAGGAUGGAUCAACCCCUCUUGGUAGUGGCAGAUGACGUAGAGGGGGCAAUGACCACAGACUUGGGAGCUUCGGAGCAGGCAGCUGGACAAAGCCAUCAAACAUCCCUCCAAGAAGACACUCGUUUCCUCUCCCCCCUCUACCACCUUCUUACCAUAAAGGCAAAAGUCCUUUUAUAACACAAGGGCUUAUCUUAUCAGCUUGCUCAACAGCCCCACAGAGCUGAAAGUUCAGCAGGGCCCAAACAUAGCUCCAGCCUGUGUCACAAAAAAAAAAAAAAGAAAAAAAGAAUCAAGUCCUUUGUGUGUCUCUCACCUUGUAAACAAUUACUGGUACUUGAAGCAUCCAGGUACAACUGGGGAAUUCUUUCAGGGAGUGCUCAGUACUGCUGGACCUUUUUAUUUUAAAACUGCUUCAGGCACCUGCACCACUGCAGAGCCAGUGCUCUCCCUGAGCACCCAUCUCCCCCUCUAAUGCAAGUCAGUUUGUUGGGAGAAAACCUGAGCAGAGUGCUAGAAGAGUUAAUGUAGGUGAAUGCGGCAGAAGCUAAGGUUUCAUUCAGACCAGAAAAUGCAUACAGGUGUUUUUGUGCCACGUCAGUUAUCACAGGUGUCCCAGUAAGCAGCAGCAAUAAUCUGCUGCUGAUUAGGCAGCAGAUCCAGCUUCAUUAUUUUGUGUAAAUUGCAUCUUCCCUUGACAUCACAUCAUGAAACUUCUCUAAGUGUGAAAAAGUUUGGCCGAGCUCUCUUACCCCUGGUUUCAGUUUCAGUAACUUUCAGGACCAAAAUGAUUCUGCAAAGGUUGUUUACUAAAACAUGAAACGGAACAAAAACAAAAGCUUGCUCUAAGGUUAUGCUGGUGCAGAAGGGCCAAUGGCAAUGAGCCAAGCAUUAGAAAUUGUACUACAAGUUUUCUACCUUUGCCUUUGCUCUUUCUCCUUUGAAGGUGACAAUAUGUUAAAUGUUUAGCAUCUUUUUUUUUUUUUUUUUUUUUUUUUUUUAAGCCACCGCUGAGUUUAUGUAGCUAUUUACUCCUUGCUGAAUUUUCCUGCCCCUCCCAGCACUGGCAGAGAGACGAACUGAGGCGAGUCCUGUACAGACGAACUGCUGGCCAAGUCCUGACUUCAGCUGACUGAUUCCCUGCAACUGCCAGCUCCAAAAACGGGAGGAGGCACCUCAGUGUGCACGCACUCCUGCUAGCAAGUGGCUUUUUGUGAUGACCUACAGCUGUCCCCAUCCCCUGCAGUGUUUCAGGCUGUAGUACAGGACUGAGGCGUAUGCACACUUCACUUGUGAGUCUCAAAUUUGGCUGCUGAACAUCUGCAGAGGUAUUUGCACACCUUGCGUAGUGGAACAAGCCGUGCCUAGUUCCAGCUCAACUGAAGGUGCGGAACUAAACCAGACCUGAGUGUUUGCAUCCUACAUCAACUGCAAGAGGCAACUCUCACCUGUCAGAGCACCCAGAUCCAGGGACUGCUAAAUGGAACCCAAGCCCUAAAAACGUUCAGCUUAACAGAACUCAGGUAAAGUCUUACCAGGAAACCACUGCAUCCAUGUUAGUUUCUUAGACAAUGUUUAGAGCUCUAGGCAUGUGCACAAAACUAGAAGCCAGACCUUUUACUGUGGAAUUAGCGUACCACAACCACCAGGUCUGCCACAAUUCACAGCUGCCAAGUCUUUCACACAGCGCUGUCCACAGCACUGCCCAGUGACUGUUAAGCCCUCCCCAAAGCAUUACCUGGUUGUAGUUUCCCCUGUUGGGCAUUCCUCCUCUGUUAUAGUUCCCUCUGUUUGAGUAGCCACCUCUGCUUGGAAAGACAGGGCCACGAGGAUACGGGUAGCCAAUUGCACCGCUGCUGCCACCGCCGCCGCCACCACC